GACGAACGCUGGCGGCGUGCUUAACACAUGCAAGUCGAACGGAAAGGCCCUGCUUUUGUGGGGUGCUCGAGUGGCGAACAGGUGGGUAACACGUGAGUAACCUGCCCUUGACUUUGGGAUAACUUCAGGAAACUGGGGCUAAUACCGGAUAGGAGCUCCUGCUGCAUGGUGGGGGUUGGAAAGUUUCGGCGGUUGGGGAUGGACUCGCGGCUUAUCAGCUUGUUGGUGGGGUAGUGGCUUACCAAGGCUUUGACGGGUAGCCGGCCUGAGAGGGUGACCGGCCACAUUGGGACUGAGAUACGGCCCAGACGCCUACGGGAGGCAGCAGUGGGGAAUAUUGCACAAUGGGCGGAAGCCUGAUGCAGCAACGCCGCGUGCGGGAUGACGGCCUUCGGGUUGUAAACCGCUUUCGCCUGUGACGAAGCGUGAGUGACGGUAAUGGGUAAAGAAGCACCGGCUAACUACGUG
rnacentral:rRNA from 1 species